rnacentral:lncRNA from 10 species
GGACGCCGAGGCCGAGGAGGCGCCGAGAGCGAGUGAGAGCUGCUAGCCAGUUGUCACCUCUCACAGAGAGGUAAGUGUAUAAUAUGAAGAGUCCGGAGACCCAGAGGUUCUUCUCAGUUUUUCCUCUGGCUCAGUGUGAGAACGGGGUUAACGUUCUUUGCUUUUUUGGCCUCCCUUCUCAUCCUCAAGAAAGAGGGUUUGGAAUCACCUAUAGAUUUACUGCAAAACUUACGUAGUUUAUACUUCAUGGAUCCUCACUUGCACAGGUCACUUUCAAAGCCCUGGGAGCGCAAAUGUUUCUGACUUCGUAUUUUAAAAUUAUUUUUCUUAAGCCACCUCACGCCCGCAACCCCAGUGGUAUGCACUGCUGGAUUCAUCACUGAUUAGAAUACAUUAUUUAAGGUUUCCUCCAGUUCGACAAUCCAGUCCUUCUAUGUGAAUACUUAAUAAUUGUUUAUAUCUAGUCACUCAUAACUGUUGUCACCCAUAGUGUUUUCUCUCCUAGGAAGUUUCUGCUUUUUAAAAUAACACUUUACAGCUAUUAUGAAGAUUGAUUUUCACUGAGAUGUUGUAAAAACUCUGCAGAUCCAUUAUACUAGACCUAUAUAUACCGUGUAUUAUACUAGUCAGGAUUCUCCUGAGAAACAGCACCACUAGGUUCUGUUCAAGCGCAGGAGAUAAGAAAAAAUAUCCCAGCUCAAGCAGUGAGAUGAAAAGAAGGGGUUAGUCCUCCUUCCUCCACCUUUUGUUUUAUUCAAGCCUGCAGUGGAUUGGAUGAUGCUCACACCAUGGGUAAAAGGAAUCUACUUUACUCAUUCCGCCGAUUCGAAAGCUAGUCUCAUCUGGAAACACCCUCAUUGACGCAGUCAGAAGCAAUGUUUAAUCUGGGUACCCCCUGGCCCACUCAAGUUGACACAUAAAAUUAACCAUCAUAUCUGUCUUCUUAUCUUUAAUUCUUCCCUCUGCUGACUUUUCUUGCCUCUGAGUUUAACAGUUCUCAGACUGUGAUCUCAGCAUUAGGUACAUCAGAAUCAUUAGGAGUUUUAUUUUAUUUUUUUAAUGAAAUUCUCAGGACUGCAAUCCAGAUUUACUGAAUAAUAAAAGGGGGGAGGGUUGCAGAUACAAGAAACCUACGUUUUGAACACGUCCUCCAAAUGUUUGUGUCCCCUAGUCUUUAAAAGUCAACUAUUCAUUUCCAUGUUCUAGAAGGUGUGUGUGAAUGUGCUUUUUCAAAAUCAGGAGCAGAUGGCAAGGAGAAUAAGAAUGUAAAAAAAGCUAAAUGUAGGUGAAAAUUUGUGACCUAUUCCCCAAACAAAUAUAAAAGGAUGAUAUUAU